rnacentral:lncRNA from 1 species
UGGACCACACCUUGAGCUGUUCUGCUCUAAAGCAGGGACUCCCAAAUUUCAGUGAGCAUGAGAAUCAACUAGGGUUGUUGAAACGCAGAUUGCUGGGCCUGCCCCUACCAGGCAUUCUGAUUCCAACAAGAUAACUUCACCUGACACUUGGUUUGUAAAAUUUAGAAGAGAGAACAUGCAGUGUUCCAAGUAUGACUGAUUAUGCGCAAGAUAGUCUUCCUUUUGGGGACUCCCAAAAAGGCCUAAGAAGAUAAAAGGCCAAAAAAAGGAGAAAAACGAAAAUAGCGUUCAGCGUUUGUUUUGUAUCAAAGCGUUAUAAGGUUAAGCAGUCAAGCAUACCAUCAUAUUUCAAGCUUUUGCAUCAGCCACAUCAACCACAGCAGAUGAUGAACCUUGACCUUGGACAUGGAGGCAGCAGACAUAAAAGGUGUAGAUGUCAGUGACCUGCCUGCCCUGAUGGGUUGAGACGACAAUGAGAUGUUGAUAGAUGACUCUCUUCCUCUCUCUCCUACACCCCAU